GUACGGGGGGAGCAAGCGUUGUUCGGAUUUACUGGGCGUAAAGGGCGCGUAGGCGGCGCAACAAGUCACUUGUGAAAUCUCCGGGCUUAACCCGGAGCGGUCAAGUGAUACUGUCGUGCUAGAGUGCGGAAGGGGCUACUGGAAUUCUCGGUGUAGCGGUGAAAUGCGUAGAUAUCGAGAGGAACACCUGCGGCGAAGGCGGGUAGCUGGGCCGACACUGACGGCUGAUGCGGCGAAAGCCCAGGGAGCGAACGGG
rnacentral:rRNA from 1 species